rnacentral:lncRNA from 1 species
AGUGUGUUUACCAACUGCUAGGCAUUUCAGUCAACAAUCACCAUUGCCCAGCUACAACGGAAGUUUUUAGUUUGAGGUAAUUCUGUUGUUGGCUUUUGUUUUUACUGCCUGUAUUUGGAGAGGUCUGAGCCAACCCCACCCUUUCUAACGUGCCGCAGCGUUUCCUCGGUGUUUUCUUCCCUUUUGAGCUGAGUGGCCCAGGUCUGACUCGCAGGUGGGCAUCCGGUUGCCCUGGCAGCGUCCGUCACUGAGAAGCCGGUUCCGCGGGCCGGGUCGGGAGAACCUGGUCUCCUGGUCGGGGGUGACCGGCCUGCGGCUGCCUGCCAGCACCACCUCCUCCAAGCCGACUCGUGAAGCCCAUCAGUGCCGCCUGCAUUGCUCUUUUCCGCCCCACACUGCUUUGGUUGCUGCGAGUGAUAUUUUAAAGAAAAGAUUUCACAAAUUCAGUUUAUAAAUCCAACUUUCAACAAGUCUGAGAAAGAAAGAACUCUCCAGCAUGGAAACCUGGCCAUCAUUUGCUGUGAACACUCGUGUGCCUGAAAGCACUCGAUAUAGAACGGCCCUGAGUGAGCAUACUCGGGCAUACAUCUGUGCUGCAUCAUAUCUACUGGAAAGACACACCAGGCAGAGGCUACAACAAAAGAAUUCGCCCAGGAACAUAGCAUGGGCUGACCUCCAUCCAUCCCUACAGCCUCAAGGUUGUGACGCAUUUAAGAAGCAGCUACCAAGAUGAAGUACCAAGGCCUCAUCCUGCAGCCUUUAUGAGCUCUCAUUGUUAUUCCAUUGUGGACCUCCUUCCAAGUUUUAUCGUUUAAUCAUCCACAUUGUGCAAGAACAGUAGUUUAUUCAUGACUGUUAAAAGACGAAAAACCUCAACUAUUCAAAACAGCCUAUUUAGACUCUGAGUACAAAACUCAAAGUGCAUCUCUUUGGAACUAAUGUUCCAUUUCAUACUUUGAUUGGAAGUAAAGUGUAGAAAAUCAUGAACAUCAGUAAAUUAAAGAUGUUAGAACAGAAUGGAUUCAUUUUCUGAGACACAAUUUAUUGGGGUUAAAAUACUGAGGGGAAACAUUCUUGGCAAAAUCCAUUCUUGUUCCUUCGGGCAGUUUGCAUAACUGUAGGGAGAGACUGAGCGUCCCAGACCAAGCUUCGCUCCGAGCCCCACCCUGUCCUGUUGCAGAAAUGCAGUCUGUGGAGAUUGGUGUUUCUGUAAGUCUAAGCCUGCGACAUCUGUGCAUCCCAGGAAGAGGCCCCAGGGCCGUGUGGGACCCCUGUCCUGACCAGCAGGAGGGCCUGCCUUCCUUCUGGAAUUUUGCUGAGUUGGAUGUAAGGAGGCAAAGAUGCCAUCGCCUCUUGGACUUGGCACAGCCAGCAGAGCAGCUGAGCCAGCGCA